CCUACGGGAGGCAGCAGUGGGGAAUAUUGCACAAUGGGGGGAACCUUGAUGCAGCAACGCCGCGUGGGUGAAGAAGUACUCCGGUAUGUAAAGCCCUGUCAGCAGGGAAGAAAAUGACGGUACCUGACCAAGAAUCCCCGGCUAACUACGUGCCAGCAGCCGCGGUAAUACGUAGGGGGCAAGCGUUAUCCGGAUUUACUGGGUGUAAAGGGAGCGUAGACGGCAAAGCACGUCUGAAGUGAAAGCCCGUGGCGCAACCACGGGACUGCUUUGGAAACUGUGUUGCUUGAGUGCAGGAGGGGUAAGCGGAAUUCCUAGUGUAGCGGUGAAAUGCGUAGAUAUUAGGCGGAACACCGGUGGCGAAGGCGGCUUACUGGACUGUAACUGACGUUGAGGCUCGAAGGCGUGGGGAGCAAACAGGAUUAGAUACCCGUGUAGUC
rnacentral:rRNA from 1 species